CAUGGCCAUACCACCCUGAACAUGCCCAGUCUCAGAAGCUAAGCAAGAUCAGGACUGAUUAGUACUUGGAUGAGGGAAAUUAAGCUAAACUCCAUGA
rnacentral:rRNA from 1 species